CUCUCUCUCUCUCUCUCAAAAAUGAAUAAACAUUAAAAAUUUUUUAGAAAGUAGUCCAGGUUAAUUCUUUUUCAUGUAGCUGUCUAGUUUUCCCAGCACUGUUUGUUGAAAAGACUGUUUUUCCCCCCAUUGGAUAUUCAUUCCUGCUUUGUCAAAGAUUAAUUGACCAUAUAAUUGUGGAUUUAUUUCUGGGUUUUCUAUCUUCUUCUAUUGAUCUAUAUGUCUAUUUUUGUGCCAGUACCAUACUGCUUUCAUUACUACAGCUUUGUUAUAUAACUUGAAGUCUGGAGUUGUGAUACCUCCAGUUUUGAUUUUCUUUUUCAAAAUUGCUUUGGCUAUUCGGGGUCUUUAAGGUUCCAUACAAAUUUUAGGACUGUUUUUUCUAGUUCUGUGAAAAAAUACUUUGUAUUUUUAUAGGGAUUGCAUUAAAUCUGUAAAUAUCUUUGGGUGGUAUAGACAUUUUAAGAAUAUUUGUUCUUCUAACCCAUGAGCAUGGAAUAUUUUUCCAUUUCUACAUUAAUUAAGAUAAAGAUCCCAGAGAGAUUUUGGGUAGGGAGAGAGAACUGAAAGAGAAGACAUUUAGUACAAGGUAGAGAAUAUAGGUGGUGAAGUCCAAAAGUAAGUUGAAUAAAAUAGCAUGGAGCUCAAAAGAGAGAUAUAUGGUAGAGACACAGUUUUGGAAGUCAGUGUUUAUAUGACAGUGUAAAUCAUAGGAUCAUUUGAACAUUGUAGUAGGCUGAAUAUUGUUCACCAAGGAUAUCCAGUUUCUAAAUCCCUGGAACAGGUAAAUUUUACCUUACAUGGUAAAAGGGAUCCUGCUGAUGUGAUUAAGUUAAAAAUCUUGUGAUGGGGAGAUUUUCUUGGAUAACGCAAGUGGGUCCUAAAUGUAAUUGUCAGUGUCCUUAUAAGAGAGAGGCACAGGGAGAUUUGACUUCAGAAAAGGAAAAAGCAAUGUGAUAAUGGAAGCAGAAAAUAUAGUGGCACAACCAUAAGGCAAAGAAUGUCAGCAGUCAACAGAAGCUGGAAGAGGAAAGGAAUGGAUUCUCCCCUGGAUCCUUUAAAAGGAAUCAGACCUGACAACACCUUGAGUUUAGCCUUGUAGAACUCAAAAUUUGGAGUUCUGGCCUCCAGAAUUCUAAGAGAAUACUGUUAUUUUAAGUUUGUGGUAAUUUGUUGCAGCAACAAUAGGAAACUAAACACUAAAACCUUUUCAUUUUGAGAAUAAAAAAAAAUUGUGAAAGAACUCAGAUGGAUACCAGUAUUUCAGGGGGCCUAUAGCUUACCGGCCCUCAAUACAAGUGGUGGUGUCAAACAGAGAUGGAUUCAAAUUCAGGUCUGCUCUUAGUAGCAGUGUGAUUAUGGGCAAGCUAUUUAAACUAUAUACCUAAGUUUCUCUGUAAAAUUGAGACAAUAACAGAGCAUCUGUCAAAGAUCUGUUGUGAGGAUUAAAAGCAAAUAUCCAAUUAUGCCCCAGUGCAUUGUAAGAACUUCAUAAAUGGUGAUUUUGGAGAUCCAUAUGUAUAAGCAUGAGUUACAGCUAUUAUUGUGUAGUUAGUAAACAUUUUUAAUGUGGAGAUGAAUCUAUUUUUUUUGGAAGAGUUGUAUUACAUUGUUCAGCUGAGUUCAACAAUGUAUGAGAGCAUGUGGAGGCUUGGUGGCAAAGCCUGCACUGUUAAUAAAAAGUUAUUAACAGCAUUCAUUUAGACUGCUGUAUGUGUGUGUUGCAUAUAUAUUUUUGGGAAUAAAUAGGUCAAAAUGCAACUUGUUAAGGAUGUGAGAUGGCAUCAAAAUCUUUUUCUACUUUAAUAGUUACUUUUUCUAUUAAGAUCUCUCUCCUUCCUGGUCCCCUUAAAAAUUUCAUGUAUUUACACAGAAGUUAAUUAUAGUUACAAUGCUAGUGAUAACCUCCCUUUACAUAUGAACAUAAACUUAAACUGAUUUUUAAAUUUCUUGCUUCUUUCUGUGGUGCCUGGGUGGCUCAGUUUGUCACAUGGGCCCUCUCCAUCCUCCAAAGAAAGGUGAGGUAAACUACCUAAGACCCUCUGCCUUUCCCCCUAAAGGGAGGUGAUGUUGCCCGAAACAAUCUUUUCUUUUGAUAAUAACUUCUUUGUCCCACCCUCAUGCUUAAUAAAGCCAAUUUUAUCUUCAAAUUUAUUAGGUUGAUUUUUUUUAACACAGGUCAGAAUACUUACCUGAAUAUGUUAAUUAUAGAGUGGCACAGGAUUUAAGUUCAAGCUAAAACAUUACAUUCCUUACUCUAUCCCACACAGUUUGUAUCCCACAGAUCAAUCUAUAAAGCUAAGUACUGUGUACAGCAUCAUUAUUUCCCAUAUAUUAUGCCCAGUUAAAACAAAAACAUCUUUUUUAUCAUGGUCUACUAAGUAGUGCCUAAUAAGGUAUAUUACUACCUUGAUAUCAUAUACAUAUUAAGCAAACACCCCAUCAUGGCAGGAAUAUACUACUCUCUACCUUGGGAUCAAUUUUUUAAAAGAAUCUUUCUUUUGAUAUUUGGCUCCUGUUCUUGUUAUGGGACUGAAUGCUUACUGUAAUUUCAUUACCGCUCUUGCAAGUUGUGGUAGCUUCACUGCUUGCAGUAGUGGAGCAUUGCAAGCUCCUCCUACCUUUCACGCUGUUUGGUGGACCAGUGACAAACGUGCUUGGAAAUUUCCGUCUUACAAAAACAUGUGAAAAGGUAGUAAGUACAUAAUGCCAUUUUAUUGGUUCUCAGGUCUGUUCUGAUUGAGUUCUCAUGAGCCAAGUGCUUCAUAUUUGUAAUCUUCAAUCUAUUUCUUCUACUUUGGGAUCCAUUAUGACCCUCAUGCCUACAGCAGUGGUUUUCAAACCUUAGCGUACUCAUAAUCAAAUGGCCGACUUGGAAACACAAAUAGUUGGGCCCCACCUCCAGAAUUCUGAUUCAUUUGGGCUGGAGUGGGGCCUGAGAAUCUGCAAUUCUAACAAGUUCUUAGGUGAUGCUGCUAGUCUGACAACAAUACUUAAGAACUACUGGCCUUAGGGGUCCCUGGGUGGCCUUGUUGAUGGAGCAUCUGACUCUUGAUUUUUGCUCAGGUCAUGAUCCUGGGGUUGUGGGAUCAAGCCCCACAUCAGGCUGAAUGUGGAGCGUGCUUCAGAUUCUCUCUCUCUCUCUCUCUCUCUCCCUCUGCCCCUCUCCCCUGCUCAUGCACACAUGCUCUAUCUUAAAAAACAAAAAACAAAAACAAAACAAAACAACUAUUGGCCUUAAAUAAUAAUUGGUAAGCACUCAAUAAAUUUCUUGAAUAAAUGAAUCUUUUUUAUGUUUAUUUUUAAUUUUUUUUUAACAUUUAUUAUUUUUGAGAGACAGAGAGAGACAGCGCAAGUGGGGGAGGGGAAGAGAGAGAGGGAGACACAGAAUCUGAAGCAGGCUCUAGGGUCUGAGCUGUCAGCACAGAGCCUGCCAUGGGGCUCGAAUCCAUGGACCAUGAGAUCAUGACCUGAGCCAAAGUCGGAUGCCUAACCGACUGAGCCACCCAGGCACCCCUUGUUUAUUUUUUUGAAAGAGAGCUAACGAGUGGAGGAGCGGCCGAGAGAGAGAGAGAGAGAGAGAGAGAUUGAGAGACAGAGAGAAGAUCUGAAGCAGGCUCUGCACUGACAGCAGAAAGACCAAUGUGGGGCUUGAACCCAAGAACCAUGAGAUCAUGACCUGAGCCGAAGUCAGAUGCUUAACCUACUGAGCCACCCAAGUGCCCCAAAUGAGUCUUAAAAGUAACCAUUUGAAAUAGAUCAGAAUUACCUUUUACAAAUAGGAUACCUGAGUGACAAAAAAGUUAAGUUAAUUGUGUGUAGGGACCAAGGGCUGGCUCCCCCAAAAUGUGCCACUUGAGUAUAUUGAUUAUUUUACUUUAGAUUUUAUUUUUAAGUAAUCUCUACACACAACAUGAAGCUUGAACUCACAAUCCUGAGAUCAAGAGUCACAUGCUCUACUGAGUCAGCCAGUUUCCCCUGCAUAUUGUAUUUUAAAUAAAAGGUACUUCAGAGAUGGCCUAUGCAGGAAGGUUCAGAUCUUCCUCUGUCCAUCCUGAAAGCAAGAAAUAAAUAUCCCAUGUGAAAGGCAUUCUCCCUGUACCAGGAGACAAAGAGAUAUAUUUAUCACCAGAGAUGAGAAAUUUAGAACUGAAAAGGCUGUAUAAACAACCCUUGUUACUUUUUACUGAUUAACUACCCGAGUCCAAAUUCUGUUUAGAAUUCCUUACGAAUUGAAGCUCCCAAAGUCGUUUUCUUUUUCCUGUCAAUUCCUCACAGAUUAUUGUCUCCUUGUCUAAAAAGUAUAAAAACUGCCCACCUUGGUUACUUCUUUAGGUGACAAUUUCAUUAUUGGGGCUCUGUGCACACAUAAUAAAACUUUGUGGGUUUUUUUUUCUGUUAAUCUGUCAUAUGUAAAUUUAAUUCUUAGUCCAGCUGCAAGAACUUGACAGGCAGAGAAGAAUUUUCCCUUACUUUCAUGUGCAAGGUAAGAAUUUAAUCCAAUUUGUCUAAAUCCAAAGUCAUGGUUUUUAACAACUAUGUCAUGUUGUAUCCUCAGUGCCAAUUCAAUGGCUUUCACCUUAGAAUAUUAGAGAAGUUGUUACAACCACCAGUGUUUGAAUAUUUUUUUACUAUUAAUAUGUUCAAUUAUUUUUUAUUUUUCUGCUAUGUACAUAUAUUACUGCAAUCAGAAAAUUCCAUGAAGAUUAUUAUAAAUGCCUCAAAACAAAGUAAUAUUAUAAAACAUGUUAAAAUACAAAUAAACAAUGCAAUGCAAUAUUUACAACAUGUAUUACAGAUUUGGAAUUAGCCUUAAUAUUUUAGUAGCUCUUAUAACUCAAUAGCAAAAUGAAAUGCCAACAAAGGAAAAAAAAUGGUAGCUACAAAAUAAAAUAUAUAUACUUAUUUGCAGUUUUUGGGAUUGCAAUCCAGGAAACACAGAUAUGAACAACAUCAAAAGCAUGCUCCAGAGAGACAAAGAAAGUUAGAGUUUUUGAAGAGGAAUGAGGAGAUUUAUAUAGGUUUUUUUGAAGAAAAUGCAAUUGGUGCUGGUAUUGCUACAGUUACACUAAUCUAUGUUUGACUGGUUCCUAGGGCUAGUGUUAGGCAGAAAGCCCAUUUAUGUCCAUUUUAUCAUAUAGCAGAUGCCUUGUCUUUUAGCUGAGUUGAGUAAAAAUUCUGAUAAUUUGAGACAGAAGAUGUGCAUGAGCCCCACCUCUUCAAUAUCUUCCCAGCUGGCCCCAUUUUAAAUUAUUCUCUUAGCAAUGGUUACUCCAUCUUAUUCUUUUCAUUGUCAGAACUAAAGAUAUGAAUAGGAAAUUUACAGUAAGGGAAACAUAAAGGACCAAUAAACAAGCAGAAACUGAACAGUGAAAGAAAUACAAAUGAAAACAAAAUAAACCCUUCUUUUCCCUAUCAAAUCAGAAAAGAUUAGAAAGACUGAUAUGAUAAGAUUCUGUGUUUGGGUGUCAGUAAAUAGGACUAGCACAUGUUGCUGGUGGGAAUAAUGUACAAUCACAAUUUUUAUAAAGGUGAGGUUUGUUUAUGAAUGUCAAUUAGAAUAAUAAUGAUAAUACUAAAACUUGAAAGCAACACAAAUAUGCAUGAGUAGAGGAUUAACUCAAAACAUUAUUAGACACAUCAAAAGAAAUAGUAUACAGAAAAUCAAAAUAAUUAGGAAGACUUCUGAUUAAAUGUUGUAAAUUGACUACAAGCUUUUAUCUUACCUUUUUCAUAAGAUCUCACAAGAAUUAAGUAAACUGAGACCUACAUUAAAAAAAUCUUUUUAUUUUGGAAUAUUUUUUUUAAUGUUUAUUUAUUUCUAAGACAGAGAGAGACAGAACAUGAGUUGGGGAGGGGCAGAGAGAGAGGGAGACAUAAAAUCUGAAGCAGGCUCCAGGCUCUGAGCUGUCAGCACAGAGCCCAACGCGGGGCUCGAACUCACGAGCUGUGAGAUCAUGACCUGAGCCUAAAUCAGUGGCUCAACCGACUGAGCCACCCAGGCGCCCCUGUUUUGGAAUAUUUUACACAAGAGUUACAACGAUGGUAAAGAGAGCUCCUGUAUACUCUUAAUCCAGAUUUCCCAAAUAUUAACAUAUUUCACCUGUUAAAAUUAAGAAAUUAACAGUCAACACUAUUAACUAAACUAGACACUUUAUACAAAUGUUAACAAGUUUUCCCAAAAGUCCUUUUUUUCUGUUCCUAAGGUUUAAUCCAGGGUACUAACUGUAUUUAUUUAACAUGUCUCCUGAUUCUACUACAUUUUCUGAAAGUUGUUCUUUUGUUUCAUAACCUUGAUAUUUUUUUGAAGAGUACUGUCAGCUAUUUUAGAGGAUGUCCUUCAGUUUGGGCUUGUCUGAUGUUUUCUUAUGAUUAUUGAGAUUAUGGGAUUUGGGGAAGAAUACUACAGAGGCAAUGUGUCCUUUCCUGUGAUGUUCUGUGAUAUGAUUCAUGUGAUAUGAUAUCAACAUGAUUUAUUAGUGAUGGUGUUAACUUUGAUUCCUUGACUAAGAUGAUGUCUGCCAAGUUCUUCCUUUGUAGGAUCUUUCUCCAUUUUCAUAUUCUAUUUCUUAGAAGUGAGUGAGUCACUAAGUCCAGGCCAUACUCAAGAGAAGGGAAAUUAAGCUUGACCUCCUGGGGGAGAAGUAUCAAAUAAUUUGUGGGUGUAUGUUUUUUUUAAAAAAAAACAUAGUAAUUAAAAUUUGGAGAGGAGAUACUUUGAGGCUAUGCAAAUAUCCUGUUUCUCCUUAAAGUUUUACUCAUUAAGUUUAGCAUUCAUCGGUAGUUCUUACAUGCAACAAUUACUACCUUGGUGUUCUAAUGGUGAUUUUCUAUAUCUAUCAUACUGACUACAUUUAUUACUUGGAAUUAUUUAGUAAGGAAGUUCUAUUUUAUCUAUUUUUCUAUCUGUCUAUUUGUCUAUCAUUUAUUUAUCUAUACAUCUACCUAUUUAUCAUCUACCUAUCAUCUAUAUAUCUAUUUAUAUCAGUAUGGAUGUUGUUAUUCUUUGUGAUAUAAUUCAAUAAUAUCUUUAUUUUUUUCAAAUGGAUCAAGUUUUGGCCACUAGAAGCUUAUUUGGAUUGGCUUAAAUUCCUUUGAUAUGCCCAAUGUGUUAGGCAGAAUUUUCAAGACAUCCCAAAUAUUCCUGUUUUUUGGUUAUCCAGUAAAACACCAAUGUAGGUACUGCUGUAAGGGGAUUUUUCAGAUGUAAUUUAACACAAUAAGCUGACUUUAACCUUGGGAAAUUUUCCUGGAUUAUUCUGGUUGGCCCAAAAUAAUCACAUGAGCUGUUGAAGCAUAGAAACUUCUCUAGCUGGUGGCAGAAGCGGAAGGCAGAAAAGAAAAGAAGAGAAAGUUAGGGAUAUUCAAAGAAUGAAAUGGAUUUAAUUUAUCAUUGCUGGCUUUGUAAAUGGUGGUGGCCAGAAGUGAAGGAAUAUAGGGAGUCUCUAGAAGCUGAAAACAACCUGCACCUAACAACCAGGAAGAAAACAGGGACCUCAGUCCUACAUCUGUAUGGAACUGAAUUGUGUUAACAACUUGAAUGAGACUGAAAGCAUGUUCUUUCUCAGAGUCUCCAGACAAGAGCCCAAGCUGGUUGGCCCUUAAUUGCUGUUUUGUUUUGUUUUGUUUUGUUUCAUUUUUUUGAGACUGUAAGUAAAGAAUCUAGUUGAACCCAUCUGGACUUCUGUUUUAAGCCACUAACUUGGUGGUUGUUAUGUAGCAAUAGAAAAUGAAUACACUUGCAUACUGUUUUUAAAUCACAUCCUUACUUUCUGGUACUAUCAGAUGUUCCGGGUUAAUCUUGUAUUUUCCCUUCUCUGGCCCAAGAAUCAGCUGUUUCUCUAAGAAGUCCUGAUUCCUUUUAUUAGAAAGUGGUAUUUAGAAAUGAAGAUCUUGGCCUUACAUGUGUUCAUUGCUAGAGGGACAGCAUUGUGUCUAGACCUUCUCAGUGGACAGAACUAGUAAAUAUAUUUACACUACUCUGUGUACACACACACACACACACACACAAGUUCAUAUUGAUAUCUCUAACUCUAAAACUUUCUUAUGUGCAACUUCUUUCUCUGACAGUGAGAAACUUGGCUCCCAUUAUGUAUAUUAACUUAUUUGUUCAACCCUCAUAUGCGUGCAAUGUAUUUCUAUACAUGUAAUAAAUUGCUAUAUAAUAUUCGGUGAGAAACAAAUAUACCACCGAGAGUAUGGUUCUUUUUGUCUUUAGCUUUGCAGUAGUCAGUCAAAACACUGUUUUCCAAAGUUACUUAGGUCAGCUCCAUUAUUCUUCAUCCACUUUAGUGAAGUGAUGGCAUACAUUUUGCUAUGGUCUGAAUGUUUGUGUCCCCAUCACCACCAAAUUUAUAUGUUGAAAUCCUAAUGCCCAGUGUGAUGAUAUUAGGAAGUAGGGCCUUUGAGAGGUGCUUAGAUCAUGAGGGUAGAACACUCAAGAAUGAGGUUUGUGUUCUUAUAAAAGAGACUCCAGGGAGCUCCCUAGUCCCUUUCACCAUGAGAGGACACAGUGAGAAAUCAGCAGUCUGCAAUGCAGGAAAGGGCCUUCAUCAGAAUCCAAACAUGCUGGCACACUUGUUCAAGCCUCUAGAACUGUGAAAAAUAAAUGUUUAUUAUUUAUAAACUACCAGGUCUAUAGUAUUUUAUUAUAAUAGCUCAAAAGGACUAAGACACAUUUAUGAUACAAUUAAAUGCAUUUGUUACAGUCUGUAUUCCAUCCUGGGUUCUUCUUACAGUCUGGCCGAUUUAAAAAAUGUUUCCAUGCAUAUAUCAAGGUUUCUCAACUUUGGCAUUAUUGACAUUUUAGGCUUGAUCAUUCUUUGCUUGGAUGGCUGCCCUGUGAAUUGUUGGAUGUUUAUUAGUAUUCCUGGCCUCUACCCACUGGAUGCCAGUAGCACACACCUCCACAGUGUGAGAACGAAAAAUGUCUGCAGGCAUUGCUAAAUAACCCCUGGUGGGCAAAAUUGCUCCCAGUUGAAAAAUACUGGCAUAGGGAAAGAGUCACCUUUGGUGGUGGUGUAUGUUCUAUGGGUUUUAACAUGUACAUUAACUACAACAGUAACAUAUAGCAGAGUUUCACCACCCUAAAAAUUCUCUUGUGCAGACUCUGUUAUCAGUCACAUCCAUCACCCCCAGCUCCUGGGAGCCACUGAACUGAUUCUGAUUCUAUAGUUUUUCCUUUUUCAGAAUGUCAUAAACUGUGAUCAUAUUAUAUGUAGCUUUUUUUUUUUUUUACUAAAUUUUAAUUUAUUUUUGAGAGAGAGAGAGCACUAGUGGGGAGGGGGAGAGAGAGGGAGAAAGAGGAUCCCAAGCAGGCUCCAAGCUGUCAGCAUGGAGCCCGUUGCGGAGCUUGAACCCACAAACCAUGAGAUCAUAACCUGAGCUGAAACCAAGAGUUGUACCUUAACUGACUGAACCACCCAGGCGCCCCCUAUAUGCAGCCUUUAAGAUCUGAUUUUAUUCACUAACAUAAUGCUUCAAAUUUAUUCAUAAAACAAGAGUUUGUUUCUUUUCAUUGCUUAGUAGUAUUCCAUUUAAUGGAUGUGCCAAGGUUUAUUUAUAUAUUCACUUGUUGAAGGACAUCUGGGUUGUUUUCAGAUUUUGGUGAUUAUGAAUAAUACUAUAAUGAACAUUUUGUGUACAGGUUUUUGUGUGAAUACACACUUGAAAUUCACUUGGACAAAUACAUACAACUGAGAUUCCUGGGUCAUAUGAAAUUCAAGUUCUAUGAAGACAUUUUUUUUGCUGUUUUGUUUAGUGUUGUGAUUCCCCAAUACCUAGAACAGCACCAGGAUCCUCCAUCAUUUUGUCUCACCAGGCUUAAUGCUGGGUAUUUCUUCAGACUAAUUGUUUGUUUAUAGAAUUCUCCAUCCAGAGUACAUUGAUAGACAUCAUUCCUUUCAAAGAGGACCUAGAUACCUGGGUGUUUCCCAAGGAAGUAUGAAAGCUGAUAUAAACAUGGCAUUUCUGGCAUUCAUCUUCAUGAAUCCAUGAACAAGAGGGAGAAGCAGCAAUGGAUGAUACUUAUGUACAACCCCAAAUAAGAUAGUGUUAAAAAUAAAUUCAAGAGUUAUCUGCCUCGGUCACCUAAGGGUAGGUUCAGAGAAAUGAUGUAAAGGGAUAAGAGUAGAGGAUGGCUAAAAGCAAAGGUGAAAACUGCACCCAAGGCGAUGGAGCAACUUUCCACUGGAUGUCUCCGCUUGGCUCAAGAUGAGUGUGGGAGAUGGAGGUCGAGUCUCUGGAGACUUUAUCUGAGGGGCAAGCAGGAUCUUCAUGAGGUAGAAUCUCCUGGAAAUUUAUAAAAAGAAGAUCACGUCUAAUAUCUUAAGUGUUUAUUUGGAGGAGAGCUUUGAAUGGAGAGAAAGGGAAUUUAAUAAAUCCCUAUUUGGGGGAGCACCUGGGUGGCUAAUGUCAGUUGAGUGUCCAACUUUGGCUCAGGUCAUGGCCUCACAGUUCACGAGUUCAAACCCUACAUCGGGCUUACUACUGUCAGCACAGAGCUGGCUUUGCAUCCUCUGUCCCCCUCUCUCUGCCCCUGAUCCACUUGAGCAUGCUUUCUCUCUCUCUCUCAAAAAAAAAAUAAAUAAAACAAUAAAAAUAAAGAAAUCCAUAUUUGGUACAAAAUAUGAAAUUAUGUCAAUGAUCCUUUUUUUUAGCACUUUCUUUUCAAGUUCAGUAGGUGGUUGGAAAAGGAUCUGUUCUCUAGUCUUAAUUCCAUGUUGCCACUCUUCUCUCCUAUCCUCUCUUUUACCCCCUACAUGCCCUAUGGAAGAAAGUAUGACAAUACAUGGCUACUGAUUUCAAUCCUGAGCCAUUGCAGUGUACCCUUCACCCCUUUUGAUGUAUAAGAGAAUGCUGAAGCCAGAGGAGUGGGCACAGGGAAGGGGGAGAGCUGGUUCUCCAGCACUUUUUCUGUUGCUUCUGCCACCUGUAGUUCCACUAUGUGAAAACACAGGCCUAGAACUUUGUCCAGGAUGCUGACACUGCCUCUGCAUUGAAGGGUGUCAGCUCUAAGAUGUGUAAUGAGGAGAACCAGAAGGUUUGUGUCAAGGACAUUACCUGUACCUAGUCCUGGGGAAGGAGGACAGGCCAGGGGUUAGCUGUCUUCUUUAGAAUGAGAGUUCCUAGUGCUUACCCCACCCCUCCUUUCUGUAGAUAUCUCUUUGUCAGUCAUUCUUCUGUACCCUACUCUGUGUGGUUUGAGUUGGAGCCAGAAGAAAUGGAACAUCUAAAGGUAAUGCAGACUCAAGGCCCAUUGUGUGUUCACACCCAGACCUACCUCUUCUUCCUCCAGCCCCCGAUUUCCCUAUCCCCACCAGAGCCUCACAGUGGCUUUCUCCAUCUCUCUCUGCAGCUGACCAUGAACAAACACUAUGAUGUCUCCCAGCAAACUCUUGACCUCCAGAGGCUCUGCUUUGACCCAGGUGCAGUUGACAGCAGUAAUGCUAGGGCAGGGAUCUGCCUGGGAGGGAGACUUAAAGGAUGACAAUGUGGGGAGGGGUUGGUACUGGCCCUGGACCCCUCUCAGCCUUCCUAUUGCCUCUUCUCAGAUUGUUGAAGACUUGGUGGGCCAUGAUAUUGAUAUAAUCCUGAAUUGAAGAAAAUGCAUGGCUGCCACCCUGAAGAUCAUUGAAAAGAGUUCCCCCUGAUGUGAGGCCUCAUGCCCAGUGCUGUUUUUAUGGUAGAGGAUGGUACGAAUGGUGUGGAAGGAGGACUUGUUUCUGAGGCCCUAGAUAGUAACUGUCACUCUAACUCCUUCUCACAAAAAGCUGUUGUCCUUGAACUCGAUCAACAACAAACUGUACAGGCUGGAUGGCCUGUCUGACAUUAUACAGAUGGUCCCCACAGUCAAGAUCCUGAAGCUCUCCAAGAAUGAGGUGGGAAGAGGGAGCCAGAUCAAAGUUGGGGUUGACGGUGGGUGGUAGUGUUUAUCAGUGAUGACAGGAGGCAGGAGAAGGUACCUGUGUGGAAAAGUGGGGGCUGGGGGUGCAGGGGCCCACAUGUCUCUCUUUCCCUGGGACUCGUUUCCAGCUUCCUCCCCAUAUUUCUCAGCAGACGUCAGCCUGAGAGCUGGACAAAGUGAGGGAGCUGUGGCUAGAAGGGAAUCUGUGACACCUUUCCUGGGGACCUCUGCCCCUGGGAGCAUGAGCUACCUGACAGUGCCCAUCUGCAGGAGGCAGCAGCUAUGAGGAGGACCAUGUGCCCUGACUUCUCUACUCUCUCUCUCACCUGUGCUUAGAGGUCUCCUUUCCUUCCUGUGACCUGCUUACCUGUUUUCCUGGUCUGGGGUCUGUUUCUUACCCUUCUGCACGUAGCUUUCCCUAACAUACUGCUAUGUUCUGACUGUGUCCCCCACCUCACCGCAUUCAUUUGUUGAAAUCCUGACACCCAAAGACGAUAGUAUCAAGAGGUGGUUUUUUGGGAGAUGCUAAGGUCAUGAGGGUGCAACCUUCCUGAAUGGAAUGAGUACCAUUAUAUAAAAGGCUCCAGAGAGAUCCCUAACACCUUGUACCAUGUGAGGACACAGCAAAACGAUGCCAGGAAUGAACCAGGAAGAGGGCCCUCACAAGAAAGCGACCAUGCUGGUGACUUGAUCUAGACUUUCCAGCCUACAAAGUGGAUAGCAGAAAAUUACUGUGAUUUAUCAGAUACCAACUUGGUAGUAUUUUGUUAUAGCAGCCUGAACAGACUAAGACACAUGCCUUCCCAUGAGUGUGUUCCAGGAAGCGGGGCUCCAUCUCCUCUCCAGAACCAGAGUGACCACUUUGGGCCAGGUGAUGGUGCCUGGGACUGAGAAGGGCCCUCAACCCCAGGGCUUCAUGCUGAGACAGGCCUUCCUACUCCCUGCUGAGAUGGUGUUCCCUCCCUUGUUCUGAGAGGGACCCUCUUUUCCUUGAACCAAAUGUGUCCCCUCCUCCAAUUCCAGGAUGUCAUAGUGGCUUUUCCUGCCCAUGCUGAGGGCUGAGGUCUUGGGGGGCUGCCAUCAUGACAUCCGUUCCUCUGACCCAAUGCCAGGAGCUGGGCCCUCCUUGAGACAAACCAGGGUUCCCUGAGUCAGGGGGCCAGAAGUGGGAGACUGCCAGGGAGCAGAGGACUUUCUGAGGCAGGAAUGGAAGUCAGAGAGCAGAGGUGUUUGAGGAGACAGAUGGAGAGGCUUCUCAGAGGCACUGUUCCCUCCCCACCCCCACACAUGUCACAUCAUCCAAACCGGCCCUUCAGAGGAUCCAUGGGUAGCCCGACAACGAAUAUAAUCCCUCAGGCAAGGAACCGACUGAGGCAGACACAGGUGCACUGGGACCAUCAGGAGGGAAGGCGGUGAUCAUAAGGGGACCGCAGACCCUCAGCUUCAUGCUGACCUGGGACUUGACCCUCUACUCCUUCUGGGGAUGGUCGCCUGCCCCUGUGGCUGCCUCGUUCCCCAUGCCCAGCUCAGACUGAGUUCACACAGGUGACAAACCUUCAACCAGCACCCAUCCAGUGGGCCCCCAGCCCAACACCUGCAUGUUUUUCAUUCCUACCUUGGGUGCCAGGGUGUUAGGGAAACAGGCUGUGGGGUUUGAUGGUUCUCACCCUAAAUCCUUACCUUUCAAACUUGGGCCUAUUACCUAACCUCUCAUUUUCCUCAUUUGCAGAAGGGGCCCAAUAAUAUCCAUCUCUUGGGCAGCUGUGAAAAUUGAAUCAAAUGAACUUGUGGAGUGGCUGUCACAGAGUCUGCACAUAGUAACAUUCCUGUCUCUGAGAGCAGAUCGCUCCUAUUGUUGCUCUCCCAAUUCCUGACACCUCGAUUCCCAGGAACUUUUGUCCCCUUCAGCAUGAGUAUCAUGUAAGAUCCUGACUGGGGAAUGCUGUGUGAGUGUGUCAAGCAUGUGCAACUCUAAGGGGGUAUUGUUUGUUGUUGAAGUGGAAAGAAAUUCUCAGGGUUCUGUUCAUAACCUAUUUUCCCUCUCCCCCCACCAAGUGUCAUUGACAUAUAAGUGACAUUCAACCACAUUCACUUAUUGUACCUUGUAUCUGUACCUUCACCCAGACUUUCACUGCUACCCCUGUCAGCAAUUCCAAGUGAGUGCUGUGUUUUGGGUGGCACUCCCAGCCCAGCCUUGGUUCAGGGGUGUGGGAAUGUGGUUGUGUAGCCCUUGGGAUUUUAUCAAUAUUGCUGAAAGCCAUCAGGUAGAUCCAAGGAGUCUAGCCUAGUGGUAAGGGCAUGGGCUCUGGAAUCGGAAUAUGGGUUCUCUCCCAGACCCCAACACCCACUAGCUGUGCGACCUUGGUCAAGUCAUAGGACCCCUCUGUGACCCAGUGUCUUCCUCUGAAAAUGAGGAUUAUACAGUCCACUCCUUGGGCUGUUUUACAGACGAAAUGAGAGUAUAAAACCAUCUCUGAGGUACGGUUAAGCCUCCUAAUCUAGCGAAACUGGUAGAUAAUCUCUCCAAAAGUGGUCUCUGUGGCAGGGGUAGAGGUAUCAGCCAAGCAAUCUGGGGGGGGGGGUGGAGCAGGCACAGUAGGGGUAUGAAAGGAAUGUAGUUGCUGAGUGGCAGUGGAAGCAGGACGUUGUUGAGGGAGUGGGGCUGCCUAUGUGUCCAGCUGUCCCAGGGCUCAUGUUGGCCUAGUGUGUGCAUCGUGAAUGAUAACUCUGCUUGUGAGGGACGUCAGCCCUACGGAGACCCAGAACACAUUCUCUAUCCCAGUUCCCACACCUUCCUGAAGCUUCUUUUGACCACCUUCUCUCAGGAGCAGCAGGAAUGAUGCACUUUUUCACCACCCAGUCUGGGAUGAACCUCCAGUGGUCUAAGAAGUGAGUGGUCAGGCGGCAUGCAGAUAGAAGCUGGCAGGAGCCAAGAAGGGAAUAACGGGAACUUGCAGGUAAUUGUUUUGCUUGGUUAUUUCACUCAUUGUCACCCUGAACAUUCCUGUCUCCAUACACAUUAAAUUACCUAGUUGUUUUGAACAGGUUUACAAUUCUGUUGGCCUCAUUCCUUUAUUGACAGAUGUUUUGGUUUCAGGAGUUUUCCCAGUACACACUGACACAGGGCUCAUUCUACUGCAUAUGUUGCAGUAAAUGUGGAGCCAUAUUUUCCUUGCAUAGAUUGGGAAAUGGCAGCCCUAAUGGAUGACAUCUGACUUUUCUCUACCCCAGGGGACUUUGUGACAACCACUGGGACCACACUGGUUCUCACUUGGCCCAAGGCCAAGCACACGAUUCCAGAGGAGGCCCUCACCUAAGCUGAUUCAGGAUGCUGAGAACACAGCCCUGACAAGAAACUCUUGGAUGUGGUCAUCUUUGUUGUGUUUCUCCUCCGGUCUUAGUAUAACCCUGUGAAAGAGCAGGAGGUCUGCUUGGGGUUGGAAAGCCAACAGUUAACUGACACUAAUCCACCCAAAGGGCUAGUUGUUGUGCAUAUUUGUCUCACUCAGAAUUCCUGAUUCUUUUGAUAAUAAAGAAUGAUGUUGCCUGUUAUGUCAAAUCCCUGCAAAAUCCAUUUUGAGGCAGGCAUUUUUUGUACUACAGGCAAAGGUAAAGUCAGAGAGGGUCGGAGACUCCUUGAGAACAGCGGGGUAGGGUCUCAAAUCCUGGACCCCCUAAAUCCCAGGCUGUGUGUGUGCUCCCUAGUGCCACGUAGCUGUCGAGGUGGGGAAUGUUACCCUGGUAAACCUGGAGAUGGUGUUCUGUGCCCCUAGCAUAUGACUAAAAUGUUUUUAUACAGAGAACAGUAUAAUUGCUUAGCCAUACAAAUGAACUUAGAUACCUUUUGUGGGGCGGGAGGGAAAUGGCAUUAAAGAGCACAUGAAAACCUGGGAACUAAAAAUUACCCACAUACAUGGAUGACAUAGGAUAAAUGUCCUUGAUAUCGAAAGAAAUCAAUAAAGAGAUCAUAAAUUGAUAUUAACCUAGAAUUGUUAUUAAAAGCAAUAAGAGUGUCCAACCAAUCUAUGAAAAGCUAUACAACCACGAUAACUAUAAAAAUGUAACUGCAAACAUUAGAUGAGAUACUAAAUGAGAAAAGAAAGCUGAAGAUUGUUAUUUUCAGUAAAAUACACAUACACACACACACACACAGAGAGAGAGAGAGAGGAGUCUAUAUCGAUAGGUUGUGUAUAGGAAAUGUAUAAAGUCAUUACUUAUAAAAGUCAGGUCAGGUAUACACAAUGUGGAGAUGACCUAUCUCUGAGAGGUAGGCAUUUCCGUCUUUACCUCAGAGUCCCUUCCACUCCUUUGCUGGUGUGCAUGGCAACUUUCAAAGACUGCAGGGUUUGAAACUCAUUUGUAUGGGGAAAACUCUUCAGGGUUAGUUCUGGGAGGUUCCACAGGUAGACCUUCCUUGAUAACCCAGGAGAAAAGGGAAAAGAGGUGGGUUUAGAUGGAGGGUGAAUGUUGGUGGCCCUUGAAGGGGGAGGGAGCUGAUGAGGACUUAGCUCUUUAGCCCCAUAGCUCCAGGGCAGUCCUCAGGUUGUGGCUGUCUUCAGUUGAAAACCAAGAGUGCUCUUGGGUCAGAACCUUCCCAGGGUCAUGAGAGGAUGGGCACAGGAAAUGGUACCCAGAGAGCCUUGUGCUUCUCUACUUCACUUUUAUUCUCUGUCUUGACUUUUUGUAUUCCCCACCCUCAGCUGAGUUCAUCUGUAACUUUGUACUGUCUGGCAGUUAAUCCCCACUUCUAUCAUUCACACUUUGGCUGGGUGGUAGGAAUAAUUAAAGCAAGUAUACUAACAACAAUAAUAAAAGAUACCAACAAUUAUAGCACAUAUAGUAGAUAAAUUACUUGGUCAAGAUCAUGGAAGUACUGGUUCCCAGCAUCAAAUGCAGGUCUUUCUGACCCAAAAGCCCCUGCCCUAACCCCUGUGUAUACAUUGAGUGUUCUUCUGUGUUAGGCUGGAGGCCAGCACAGGGGAGGGAAGUCACCCAAGGUCCUGUGGUCAGUGAUGGGUCUGGCAACUGGGACACAUGCUUGAUGACUCCCAUCUUCUAUAGUUGACCUGUUACUAUUAUUAUUUCUCCCAUAUUAUUUCUUCUUCCUGAGGGCUCAGUAAAAAAUUGUUUCAUCCAUGUCAAAGUAGAAGGAAACUAAGGAGACAGGAAAGCAUGAAGGGAAUAGGAAAUGAUGAAAUGGGACCAAAGUUCACUUCUUGCUGCUACAUUUCCAGAUAAUGUUUCAAAUCUUCUACUUUAUGGGCAGAGGAGGCAGUGUGGUCCAGAAGUAAUACACCUCAAGUCCUGCUACAUGCCAGACAUUCUUUGAGGUUUUCUCCCUUUCUUCUUACAAGUCUGGAAGUAGGCACCCUUAGUCCCAUUUUACAGAUGACCAACCUCAGACUCGCAGAGCUGUGUAAAUGUUCCAGAAUCAAACAUCUACCCCUUGCCAUCUGCACAGGCCAACCAGAAGUCUCCCAUUUGGGUGAUGGAUUUUGAGGGCUUAAGGACUGAUAGUGGGAAACUCUCCUGAUAUAGAAACUGGGCGGUGUCACGUCCUCAUUUGGCAUGAAGAUGAUGGUGGAGAUGAAAUCUUGCACCAUGAGUCAUGAGCCAAGAGGCCUGGCUAUGGGGGCCACAUAGACUGGCUGAUUCUUGGGGUGUUGAGUUGGACCCAGGAAGCAGCACAAAUGGUUGCCUUUUGGAAAGGGAACCUGAACAAUAGGAUAUUAACAUGGACAACUACUAUAUGAAAGGUGUUUUACAGUUCAUCUCAUUGAAUCCCAACUACUCUAUGCGAGACCAAUACUUACCAAUGAUCAGGGAACAGACAUUAAAAGUUAAGUAACAAAAUCCAAGGAACGGUAUUGUAAUUAAAUUCUUUAAUACACAAAGAUUAGGUUCUUCCCUGUUUGUCCUAUGAGCCAUCAUUCCACAUCUCGGAAGGCAUUAUUAUUCACUUGUUCUUGUUCAAACAGUGCACGGAAAUACUUUUAAAAUACGAAAACUCAUUAAAAAUAAUCAAAUGUUGUCUGCACAGCAAACAUUAAAAGGCAUGUGAAAAGCUGGGGGAGAUCAUUUCUAACCUACCUUCAGACACUUGUUUACGUAUUCAAUGUACAAAAUAUUCUUAAACAAUAGAGAUAGGUCAAUGAUAUCAAGAGUGGAUGCACAUAAGAAGGAACAUAAAUUCUUAAUAAUCACGUGAAAACAUGCUACUCUAAAUAAGUAAAUAAGUAGAAAAUAAACCAUAUCAAGUGAAACAGGGAUAUCACAAUGUAUAAAGCAAAAUAUGACCCCAUUUCUGCAAAAAGUAUAUAUCAACAUAGGUGUAUAGGUAUGAGUGUGAUUAAAUAGAUUAGUGCAAUACAUACAGAGAAAAAUUUGGGAAAUAGGCACCGCUAAGUUAACAGAGACUAUCUUUGUGUUACGGUGGGCAAAAGGUAGGGACAGAAGGGAGCGACAUAACAAUUUCAGCUUUUAAAUAUGCAUUUUAUAUGUUUCUCGUAUGUGUCAGACAAAGAGAAGUAUUAACUGGCAAUCUGGCAAAGUAUGGGGAUAAAGUUUUGUGAAACAGGCAUAUCAGCAACUGAGUCACAAGAUAAUAGUGUAGCUAUAUGUUUAUUUAGCAACUUAGAAACCUGUUCAUAUCCUGUAGAAUGCAAAUAGUAUGCUAAACAGAUGUCUAUGAUAAUUCACUGUGUAUGUAUUGUUGGGGAGAGAGAUAUGUUUAUUUUAUAAAUUUGCAUUUUUAUAGUGUCUGAAAUAUGGAAGCAUUGACUAGAAUAUCAAAAACAUAAAAUAAUUGCGAGGUGAUUACAAAUAUGAUACAUAUUCAUGGCCUUGGAAGCAGAUCAAAACAAUUUAUUUGAGUUUUCUGUAUGCAUAUGUGUUUGUGUAUGUUUCUUUGUUUCAAACUUCCUCACACCAAUUAUUCAUACACUAAGUCAUGCAACUUUCUACUUAGUUCACUGAGGGGCUGGAUUUCCCGACCAGAGCUUAAGGAUCCCAGGAUGGGAAUGAAAGUAGAAGGAUUGGUGCCAGUGAGUAGAAAAGUCUAGAAAUCUUGGCCUAUAUUAUGGUAUCUAUUCACCUUCCUCCCUCACCACCAAUACCACAGCCCUUUCCAUCCCCUAUCCUUUGCCAAUCUCCAUAGUUGAGACUUUCACACCUGCAUUGCUGGCU